AUUUUUUGCACGGUAAGACAAAAAGCCCUUUAUAUCCACUUUUAUCUCAACUUUCAUUGUCUCUUGCCUUGACUGGUGCAUCAACUUCCUAAACCCAUAUCUACCUUGUCUUGAAUACCUAUCAUUAUUAGAUUAAUCAUCCUAAAGUGUAGAUAUAAUUUGGUUAUUCUUUGCUCAAAAAUUUGCAGGGCCAUUUAAUAGUUUCCUAAUAUCUAUUGCAGUAGUUCUCAAAUUUUAGUGUGAUAAUAAGCAGCAUCUGGGAAGCUAGCUAUAAUGCACAUAUUGGAGGCCUGCUGGCAGAGAUUCCUAUUUAUUCGUGAAUGGGGCUCAGGAAGCUAUUUUUAACAGCUAUCCCAUGUAAGUUGAAAUACAUUUGUUCUUUGGGCUAAUAUCCAAAUUUUUUAACCUUAAUGAUAAUAAUCAAUAACUUGUUUCUAGAAUACUUUUUGAAGUCUUUAUGCACCACCCCCUAAACAUAUACAUGCUUUAAUGAUAUGAAACCAUUCUCUCUAAAUACCAAAUUUUCCAGACUUCACUGAUUUUCUUAAUCUUUUAUUUCCAGUUAAAGUAUACUGCCUGUUAAUUGCUGCCUAUCCCGCUCAUGUAUGGUUUGAUACUUAGCUGGCAGAGGAAAUACCAUGAUCACAAAGGUGGUUUUCCCAGGGUGAGGUUUAUCCAUUAAACUCAGGAUGUGCUGACCCCUGCGAUUUCCCCAAAUGUGGGAAACUCAACUGCAUAAUUGGUGAUAGUGAGAGACUGCGUUCUCACUUUCCCCUAAGGGGGGUGUGGGGAUGAAGUAUGGUUUGAAUGCCACCCUCUAAUGAAGCAUUUCCCAUCCCCUGACCCAAUGUGAGCUCUCCUUUCUCUGAAACCCCGUAGUAUUGUAAUAGGGUGACCCUGCAUGAUAUUAGACCUAGGAAUUUUUCUGAAUUUUAGUGAAAAAGACAGAAAAAAACAAUUAAAGCAGAGGCCAGUGUUCUAGAUCCUAAUAGGCAAAGUCCUAGAUUUAUCUGUAAGGCAAACUUCCCUUUGUUCUGGGAAGCAAGUUGGACUUAGUGAAGCACCAGUCAUCUGUG
rnacentral:lncRNA from 1 species